rnacentral:tRNA from 1 species
GCGGGCGUAGCUCAAUUGGUAGAGCAUCAGCCUUCCAAGCUGAAUGUUGCGCGUUCGAGCCGCGUCGCCCGCU